rnacentral:tRNA from 15 species
GGAGAGGUCGCAUAGUUGGUCUAGUGCGCAGUCCUGGAAAGACUGUACUCGAGCAAUCGGGUCGCAGGUUCGAAUCCUGUCCUCUCCGCCA